UUGACUACUUGCUGGUUCUAUGAUCUUUCUCCUUCUUUCCUGAACACAGCCUUUUCUAGAAUCUCCCUACCCUUUUGUUCCAGGAUGGGCAUCUCCCCUUUUCAACUCUGACCAAGGGGUGUUUUCUAUGCCCCAUACAUGGGGUUGCCUUGUACCAAGAGCCUGGCGUGCUUGGGCUGAGAAAGCCCUUUCUACCUGGGACUUCCUGUGAGAUGAGCCUUCCAUCCUUUGUACUCUGAUGGCCCCUCUUGCCUUUAUGCCAAGAGGGACCCUUUCUUCGUGAUCCACUUGCUCAAGGCUGUGUCCUGGGCUUUUCUGCCCAUGCUGAGGUUGAGGCCUCCUGGGGGCUGGUGCCAUGCAAUCUGUCUCUCUUGCUCAGUGCUGUGAGCUGGGCCCGCCCUGGAGAAGAAACCUGGGUUCCCCAAGACAUGUGACCAGAGCCGGGGCCCCGCCAGCAGGCGAGGGAGUCCCAAGGCAGGUGCUGGGCGUGGAGGCCACGGGGGCAUAGGCUACUAAGGAGACAGAGAACUGACCCUCUCGGGGGCACUGCCUCUCUCUCACUCACACCUCACAUCACCCUGUUUGGCCCCGGAGGAUGGCUGGUUAGCCAGAGACGGGUAAGAUUCCUCAGGGAAGGAACAACCUAAGACAGGCACAGUCGCAGAGGGGCCAUCAGGAGAGAACUUGGGGGCCAACAGAGGUGGGGCACAGACCCUCACCCCCCCAACCUUGCAGGGGCCUGAACCCUCAUCCCUUCUGAGGGAGGUCUCCUGCCCCCAUGGCUGCUUUGCUUCCCACGCCCAGCUCAGACCGGGACCCAGGUAGCAGACAGACCUGGCCAACAGCAACUUCCCGCUCACUGCAGCAAGGACUUGUUCCCCAUUUCUACCUUGGACCACAGGGGUGGGGCAGCUGAAGGAAAGGGCUGCGUCAGGGUGUCCUCCUCCCUUAUGUCCCUCGUUUUUCUAAAUGCUUCCUUGCCUUGUAGUUCUCUUCCUUUUUCUUUGCUUCCUCUUUCCUUUCCUCUCAACUCUCUUAUAUCUCCCCCAUCUCUCCCUUGGCCCUGCCCCCUCCUACCUUUUUCUCUUUCUCUUCUUUUCCUUUCCUGUCUUCUUCCUUUGCCUCUCCUCUUCCUAAGCCCCACCUUGCUCAUCUCCCUGCCCCAACAUCCUGUGCCAUCCCUGUGGUGUGUUCUGGUCUUGGCCAAGGCCAGACCUGGCAGAGCAGAUGGAUACCUGGUGAGGCAGCGGAGCCCCUGGGCUCCCACCCCAUUCCCUCCUCCCGGGGCUGCACAGGUGAGUAGGUGGAAGGUAAGGGGGGCAGGGAGGGGAAGGAGGUCCUGGGCUUAAAGCCUGGGCUGAGAGUGCUGCUCCUUGCAGCACUCGGGGUCAGGCAGAGAGAAAAGAGACAGCCUUCAAGGCAGUUCAUGUCUGGGUGCCCCGGGUGAGGCGGGGAGUGGGGGCCAUUUUUCCCUGAGCACAGGCUGGGGAGGAGUGGAGGGAUGAGCAGGAUGGGAUGGGCUCUCCCUCAGGUGUUAGUAUAUUUGCUCUAGAGCAGCCCAGGAGGCACGGUGGCUCUGAAGCAUCACUCACUUCUGUCCUGUUCUUGACAGCGCCAUUCGAGAACGAUUUCCCAAGUUAUUACG